rnacentral:rRNA from 1 species
UACGGGGGGGGCAAGCGUUGUUCGGAAUUACUGGGCGUAAAGGGCUCGUAGGUGGCCAACUAAGUCAGACGUGAAAUCCCUCGGCUCAACUGGGGAGGGUCAUUCGAUACUGAUCGACUCGAAGGCAGGAGAGGGUAGUGGAAUUCCCGGUGUAGUGGUGAAAUGCGUAGAUAUCGGGAGGAACACCAGUGGCGAAGGCGACUACCUGGCCUGUUCUUGACGCUGAGGCGCGAAAGCUAGGGGAGCAAACGGG